rnacentral:rRNA from 1 species
AGAGUUUGAUCCUGGCUCAGAUUGAACGCUGGCGGCAUGCCUUACACAUGCAAGUCGAACGGCAGCACGGGUGCUUGCACCUGGUGGCGAGUGGCGAACGGGUGAGUAAUACAUCGGAACGUGUCCUGUAGUGGGGGAUAGCCCGGCGAAAGCCGGAUUAAUACCGCAUACGAUCUUUGGAUGAAAGCGGGGGAUCUUCGGACCUCGCGCUAUAGGGGCGGCCGAUGGCGGAUUAGCUAGUUGGUGGGGUAAAGGCCUACCAAGGCGACGAUCCGUAGCUGGUCUGAGAGGACGACCAGCCACACUGGGACUGAGACACGGCCCAGACUCCUACGGGAGGCAGCAGUGGGGAAUUUUGGACAAUGGGGGAAACCCUGAUCCAGCAAUGCCGCGUGUGUGAAGAAGGCCUUCGGGUUGUAAAGCACUUUUGUCCGGAAAGAAAUCCUUUGGGUUAAUACCUCAGGGGGAUGACGGUACCGGAAGAAUAAGCACCGGCUAACUACGUGCCAGCAGCCGCGGUAAUACGUAGGGUGCGAGCGUUAAUCGGAAUUACUGGGCGUAAAGCGUGCGCAGGCGGUGAUGUAAGACCGAUGUGAAAUCCCCGGGCUUAACCUGGGAACUGCAUUGGUGACUGCAUCGCUGGAGUAUGGCAGAGGGGGGUGGAACUCCACGUGUAGCAGUGAAAUGCGUAGAGAUGUGGAGGAACACCGAUGGCGAAGGCAGCCCCCUGGGCCAAUACUGACGCUCAUGCACGAAAGCGUGGGGAGCAAACAGGAUUAGAUACCCCCGUAGUCC